UUGUCUCAAAGAUUAAGCCAUGCAUGUCUCAGUACAAGCCAAAUUAAGGUGAAACCGCGAAAGGCUCAUUAAAUCAGUUAUGGUUCCUUAGAUCGUACCCACACUUACUUGGAUAACUGUGGUAAUUCUAGAGCUAAUACAUGCGUACAGAGCCCCGACCGGAGACGGAAGGGGUGCUUUUGUUAGGUCAAAACCAAUCGGCGACGUGGCAACGCGUCGUCGUACACCUUGGUGACUCUGAACAACUUUUUGCUGAUCGCACGGUCUCGCACCGGCGACGCAUCUUUCAAAUGUCUGCCUUAUCAACUGUCGAUGGUAGGUUCUGCGCCUACCAUGGUUGUAACGGGUAACGGGGAAUCAGGGUUCGAUUCCGGAGAGGGAGCCUGAGAAACGGCUACCACAUCCAAGGAAGGCAGCAGGCGCGCAAAUUACCCACUCCCGGCACGGGGAGGUAGUGACGAAAAAUAACGAUACGGGACUCAUCCGAGGCCUCGUAAUCGGAAUGAGCACACUUUAAAUCCUUUAGCGAGGAUCAAUUGGAGGGCAAGUCUGGUGCCAGCAGCCGCGGUAAUUCCAGCUCCAAUAGCGUACAUUAAAGUUGUUGCGGUUAAAAAGCUCGUAGUUGAAUUUGUGUCCCGCGCCGUCGGUUCAUCGUUCGCGGUGUUUAACUGGCGCGACGCGGGACGUCCUGCCGGUGGGCUCAGUCCCGUCAAACGGACGGCCCAAUUACUAAUCCUGCCGCGGUGCUCUUCGCUGAGUGUCGAGGUGGGCCGGCAUAGUUUACUUUGAACUAAUUAGAGUGCUUAAAGCAGGCCGGGUUCGCCUGAAUACUUUGUGCAUGGAAUAACGGGAUAGGACCUCGGGUCUAUUUUGUUGGUUUUCGGAACUCCGAGGUAAUGAUUAAUAGGGACGGAUGGGGGCAUUCGUAUUGCGACGUUAGAGGUGGAAUUCUUGGAUCGUCGCAAGACGAACAGAAGCGAAAGCAUUUGCCNNNNNNNNNNNNNNNNNNNNNNNNNNNNNNNNNNNNNNNNNNNNNNNNNNNNNNNNNNNNNNNNNNCUGACCAUAAACGAUGCCAGCUAGCGAUCCGCCGACGUUCCUCCGAUGACUCGGCGGGCAGCUUCCGGGAAACCAAAGCUUUUGGGUUCCGGGGGAAGUAUGGUUGCAAAGCUGAAACUUAAAGGAAUUGACGGAAGGGCACCACCAGGAGUGGAGCCUGCGGCUUAAUUUGACUCAACACGGGAAACCUCACCAGGCCCGGACACCGGAAGGAUUGACAGAUUGAGAGCUCUUUCUUGAUUCGGUGGGUGGUGGUGCAUGGCCGUUCUUAGUUGGUGGAGCGAUUUGUCUGGUUAAUUCCGAUAACGAACGAGACUCUAGCCUGCUAAAUAGACGUAUUUCCGGCAUCCCGAAGGCCCGCCGACCGGCGCGCAAGCGUCCGCGUCGUGCGCGGUUUUUACUGCCGGCGUACAAACAAUUCUUCUUAGAGGGAAAGGCGGCUUCUAGCCGCACGAGAUUGAGCAAUAACAGGUCUGUGAUGCCCUUAGAUGUUCUGGGCCGCACGCGCGCUACACUGAAGGAAUCAGCGUGUCCUCCCUGGCCGAGCGGCCCGGGUAACCCGCUGAACCUCCUUCGUGCUAGGGAUUGGGGCUUGCAAUUGUUCCCCAUGAACGAGGAAUUCCCAGUAAGCGCGAGUCAUAAGCUCGCGUUGAUUACGUCCCUGCCCUUUGUACACACCGCCCGUCGCUACUACCGAUUGACUGAUUUAGUGAGAUCUUCGGACCGGUACGCGGCGGCGUUUCGACGUCGCCGAUGUGGCUGGAAAGAUGACCAAACUUGAUUAGUU
rnacentral:rRNA from 1 species